GAUGAAGAACGUAGCGAAAUGCGAUAAGUAAUGUGAAUUGCAGAAUUCAGUGAAUCAUCGAGUCUUUGAACGCACAUUGCGCCCCCAGGUAUUCCGGGGGGCAUGCCUGUCCGAGCGUCAUUGCCGCCCUCAAGCACGGCUUGUGUGUUGGGCCCCCGCCCCCCGGCUUCGGGGGGCGGGCCCGAAAGGCAGCGGCGGCACCGCGUCCGGUCCUCGAGCGUAUGGGGCUUCGUCACCCGCUCUGUAGGCCCGGCCGGCGCCCGCCGGCGACCCCAAUCAAUCUUUCCAGGUUGACCUCGGAUCAGGUAGGGAUACCCGCUGAACUUAAGCAUAUCAAUAAGCGGAGGA
rnacentral:misc_RNA from 1 species